UGGGGAAUAUUGCACAAUGGGCGCAAGCCUGAUGCAGCCAUGCCGCGUGUAUGAAGAAGGCCUUCGGGUUGUAAAGUACUUUCAGCGGGGAGGAAGGGAGUAAAGUUAAUACCUUUGCUCAUUGACGUUACCCGCAGAAGAAGCACCGGCCAACUCCGUGCCAGCAGCCGCGGUAAUACGGAGGGUGCAAGCGUUAAUCGGAAUUACUGGGCGUAAAGCGCACGCAGGCGGUUUGUUAAGUCAGAUGUGAAAUCCCCGGGCUCAACCUGGGAACUGCAUCUGAUACUGGCAAGCUUGAGUCUCGUAGAGGGGGGUAGAAUUCCAGGUGUAGCGGUGAAAUGCGUAGAGAUCUGGAGGAAUACCGGUGGCGAGGGCGGCCCCCUGGACGAAGACUGACGCUCAGGUGCGAAAGCGUGGGGAGCAAACAGG
rnacentral:rRNA from 1 species